rnacentral:rRNA from 1 species
CCUACGGGAGGCAGCAGUGGGGAAUAUUGGACAAUGGGGGGAACCCUGAUCCAGCCAUGCCGCGUGUGUGAAGAAGGCCCUCGGGUUGUAAAGCACUUUCAGUGAGGAAGAACGCCUGGUGGUUAAUACCCUUCAGGAAAGACAUCACUCACAGAAGAAGCACCGGCUAACUCCGUGCCAGCAGCCGCGGUAAUACGGAGGGUGCGAGCGUUAAUCGGAAUUACUGGGCGUAAAGCGCGCGUAGGUGGCUUGAUAAGCCGGUUGUGAAAGCCCCGGGCUCAACCUGGGAACGGCAUCCGGAACUGUCAAGCUAGAGUGCAGGAGAGGAAGGUAGAAUUCCCGGUGUAGAGGUGAAAUGCGUAGAGAUCGGGAGGAAUACCAGUGGCGAAGGCGGCCUCCUGGACCGACACUGACACUGAGGUGCGAAAGCGUGGGUAGCAAACAGGAUUAGAUACCCGUGUAGUC